rnacentral:rRNA from 1 species
CGGACGGGUGAGUAACACGUGGAUAACCUACCUAUAAGACUGGGAUAACUUCGGGAAACCGGAGCUAACACCGGAUAAUAUUUUGAACCGCAUGGUUCAAAAGUAAAAGACGGUCUUGCUGUCACUUAUAGAUGGAUCCGCGCUGCAUUAGCUAGUUGGUAAGGUAACGGCUUACCAAGGCAACGAUGCAUAGCCGACCUGAGAGGGUGAUCGGCCACACUGGAACUGAGACACGGUCCAG